UGGGGAAUUUUGGACAAUGGGCGAAAGCCUGAUCCAGCAAUGCCGCGUGUGUGAAGAAGGCCUUCGGGUUGUAAAGCACUUUUGUCCGGAAAGAAAUCCUUGGCUCUAAUACAGUCGGGGGAUGACGGUACCGGAAGAAUAAGCACCGGCUAACUACGUGCCAGCAGCCGCGGUAAUACGUAGGGUGCAAGCGUUAAUCGGAAUUACUGGGCGUAAAGCGUGCGCAGGCGGUUUGCUAAGACCGAUGUGAAAUCCCCGGGCUCAACCUGGGAACUGCAUUGGUGACUGGCAGGCUAGAGUAUGGCAGAGGGGGGUAGAAUUCCACGUGUAGCAGUGAAAUGCGUAGAGAUGUGGAGGAAUACCGAUGGCGAAGGCAGCCCCCUGGGCCAAAUACUGACGCUCAUGCACGAAAGCGUGGGGAGCAAACAGGAUUAGAUACCCUGGUAGUCCACGCCCUAAAACGAUGUCAACUAGUUGUUGGGGAUUCAUUUCCUUAGUAACGUAGCUAACGCGUGAAGUUGACCGCCUGGGGAGUACGGUCGC
rnacentral:rRNA from 1 species